CAUCGCUACUACGCCCAACACCGUCAACCGUCGGACAGACACCGACCAUCUCAGCUGUGCGUACGCAAACCUCCUCGAAACUAUUAGACGAAGCAGAGAGGAGAGAAUUUCGUCGUCAAAUCGUUUCCGUAGUACACAAACCAACGAUAACAACAUCCCCACACAACCAACACUAGUCAACCCAACCACCCAACAACCUCCCAUACGUCACAACCCACAGUAAUCUCCCUUUCUUCGACGGUGAAACAUCCGAAAAAGGUUCAAAGCGUAACAAAAUUCCGGACGUCGAACAGUGUGUAAAAUCCCCAUUAAUUAACUUUCCCGUUAACCUAGCAGGGGUACAAAAAUUGUUAAUGAGGCCAUUUCACCAAAAUCCCGACAUACAUCCGUGUAAAAACGGCACUUCACAAGUUGUUUAACUUCGAGCCCUGAAGAAGAUCCAAACCCGAGGAUCGAAACGUCGGCGAUGAAUUAAAAUAAUCAACGCUUAUUUCUGUGACUGCAAGCCGAAACCAUUAGAAGUUCCACCAAAAUCAGUCAUCCUAUCAA